AAAACCGUAUUUAAAAGCAGGAUUGACGACCAAAGAAAAAUGAGAAAGUAACAUUUUAAUGUGGAGCUUAGUAAUCGCCUAGAAUGAAUGGCGAUAUACAGUUUACUGCACCCUCCAAUGCGCAAAAGAGGCAGGAUGGCAAAAUUCAUGACUAUCUUAAGCAAGCCAGGAGACUGCUAAAAAGGUAGGUAUUAGCUCAAUUCCAAGGGGGUGGGGCCCAGUUCACUUGGUGGCGGGCUCUAGAUGGCCAAAGAGGAAGGGAAAGAUAUCCGUUGGUGGCCAGCACCUCGCUAAAAAGGGUGGGUAGAGGCUAACUUCAAGGCAACGGCUGGGGCGAGAGUGUCCCAGGCCCGAAAACCUACUGUGGGGCUCCGCUGAGGCACCCGGUCUCCCGGUUUCCACACGCGUUCAGAGACACAAACUCACCCGCCGCUGAGGAAACGGUACUGCCUUCGCGACCUUCUGGGAUCCAGGUUACGAGUGCGCUCCACUGGUUCGAGAUUUCUGCCCGUCGCUCGCCAGGGAGACUGAGUGCCCAAGCGCCUACUCGCACAGGCCGCAAAUACAGCCGCGCUGCGCGGCGAGCUGAUGGAGGUCUUCCUCUUGCCCGGCGUGCACUGCGGCCGGGGGCGGGGAGCGCGGAACCAUAGAGAAGAACGUAUAUAGAUCGUCUCCGCUGUUGGCUCUGACUCACCAAGCCGAGACGAAUAACCAUAGAGAAGCAGCGUCUAGCGGUUACUAGAAAGGCCCGAACUGUAAAUUAUGACCCACCAUGUUUGAUUGGAGCCGACUGAAUCUUACGACUACGGGACGCCAUCUUGAGGUCAAGGUUCCGGCUGGGCACGGCGCGAGGAGUGUUAGAGGCUUUCUCACUUUUCGUAGUUUUUCGGGGGGUGGAACCUUGCUUUGUGAUUCCUUGAGGUUCGAGGAACUGAUAACUGGGCGCGAUCUGCAACCUUAGUGUUAAACCCCAAGUGCUGUUAUAACAACUACUCGAGAUCAACAAAUAAUUGGCAAAGGCUGUGGAGGUUUUUUGAAAAGCAAAAGCUUAUGCGUAGUUGUAGGGCCAAAGAGGUGGCUAGAAGAUGUUUGGAAAAACGUGAAAAGUCCUGUAAUACUAGUUAACACAGCUUUCGUUCUGUAAUCUAAACGUGCUAAAAGAACUUAGCUUAAGUUAAUGGAAAUGAAUAAAAUUAAUCAUAAAUGAUUACGUUAUUCCAAUUGUGGACCUUAUAGGCAAUAUCUAGUUACACGCCUUUCUCAACUGCUUGCCUCUAGGAAGGCAUAAAACGGAUUCAGUAUAAAGUUAUUGCCUCCCUGAGUUCCUGGUGCUGUGUUAAGUGCUGGAAGUAUGAAGGCAAAUGGAAGUGAGAUUUGUUCCUGUCCUGCAAGAACUGUGAGCCAGUGUGGGCCUCAUUCUAAGUCUGACUUCCCUAAUGCUCAGAAGAUGGCUAUGUUGAGUCCACAAACUUUUGAAUUCAGAAACAAGAUUGAGUUGAUUUCAGAAGCUCUCCCAGAAGAUCAAGAAAGAACUUUCCAGGAUCUCCAGGAACCUGAAUUGAGUCAUACGCCAAAGUGAGUUUCAUGCUCUUUGGCAAAACAAUCAUUGGCAGGAUAGAUGAAAGUAGCUUAGAAGUGACCAAUAUGUCAAGGUCCCAUGAGAAGACUGAAAAAAAGAGAAGAAAGAGGAAAGAAAAGAAUGACAAGAAAGAGAAAGAAAGAAACCAAUAUGCUCUUUGUUCUUUGCUUUUGCUUCCUCAAGCUUUUCUCUGUCUACAAAGCCAACCUCUCCUGCUCAGCUCAUCAGAACAUUCACUCCACUUUCUGGAAUGAAGUGUUGCCUGAUCCUAGAGUCGCAAUAAAGCCA
rnacentral:lncRNA from 1 species